UUCUAGUGAGCGGCAUGGAGGAUAGAAAGCCUCAGAAGUCCUGCUCCAGACUUCACCUGCCAAUGAAAGAAAACAUCUUUAUAGACUGUGGCUACCAGAGGAGAGAAAAGGCUCAUGGUUGUCAAGUGCCCUGAGCUGACCAAGGAAUAUGAAAGUCUUGCUGCAGACGAGAACUUGCAAGUAAAGGUGAAGAGUCCAAUAAGGCAGGAAGAAAAAUGUGCAUGGAGAAGAAUGAUGGGGCAGGACUGGAAAGAUAAAAAAGUCUGCCUGCUUUUAAUUCUCUUUCUGGAGUAAAACAAUUUUGUAAAAAUAAAAAUCGUCACCACAUA